rnacentral:rRNA from 1 species
UACGUAGGUGGCAAGCGUUGUCCGGAUUUACUGGGCGUAAAGCGUGCGCAGGCGGCUUUGCAAGACAGAUGUGAAAUCCCCCGGGCUUAACCUGGGAACUGCAUUUGUGACUGCAUGGCUAGAGUGCGGCAGAGGGGGGAUGGAAUUCCGCGUGUAGCAGUGAAAUGCGUAGAUAUGCGGAGGAACACCGAUGGCGAAGGCAAUCCCCUGGGCCUGCACUGACGCUCAUGCACGAAAGCGUAGGGAGCAAACAGG